CACGUAGUUAGCCGGUGCUUCUUAUACAGGUACCGUCACAAAAGCUUCGUCCCUGUCGAAAGGAGUUUACAACCCGAAGGCCUUCAUCCCCCACGCGGCGUCGCUGCAUCAGGCUUCCGCCCAUUGUGCAAUAUUCCCCACUGCCGCCUCCCGUAGGAGUCUGGGCCGUAUCUCAGUCCCAAUGUGGCCGUCCACCCUCUCAGGCCGGCUACCCGUCGACGCCUUGGUAGGCCAUUACCCCACCAACAAGCUGAUAGGCCGCGAGCUCAUCUUGCACCGAAAAAACUUUCCACAACUGACACUAAACAGCUGUCCUAUCCGGUAUUAGACCCAGUUUCCCAAGCUUAUCCCGAAGUGCAAGGCAGAUCACCCACGUGUUACUCACCCGUUCGCCACUCGAGUACCCGCAGCAAGCUGCAGGCCUUUCCGUUCGACUUGCAUGUGUUAAGCACGCCGCCAGCGUUCGUCCUGAGCCAGGAUCAAACUCU
rnacentral:rRNA from 1 species